UACGUAGGGUGCAAGCGUUGUCCGGAAUUAUUGGGCGUAAAGAGCUCGUAGGCGGUUUGUCGGGUCUGCUGUGAAAUCCCAGGGCUUAACCCUGGGCCUGCAGUGGGUACGGGCAAACUAGAGUGCGGUAGGGGAGAUCGGAAUUCCUGGUGUAGCGGUGAAAUGCGCAGAUAUCAGGAGGAACACCGGUGGCGAAGGCGGAUCUCUGGGCCGUAACUGACGCUGAGGAGCGAAAGCAUGGGUAGCGAACAGG
rnacentral:rRNA from 1 species